GAUGAACGCUGGCGGCGUGCCUAAUACAUGCAAGUCGAGCGAACAGACGAGGAGCUUGCUCCUCUGACGUUAGCGGCGGACGGGUGAGUAACACGUGGAUAACCUACCUAUAAGACUGGGAUAACUUCGGGAAACCGGAGCUAAUACCGGAUAACAUGUUGAACCGCAUGGUUUAACAGUGAAAGACGGUCUUGCUGUCACUUAUAGAUGGAUCCGCGCCGCAUUAGCUAGUUGGUAAGGUAACGGCUUACCAAGGCAACGAUGCGUAGCCGACCUGAGAGGGUGAUCGGCCACACUGGAACUGAGACAAGGUCCAGACUCCUACGGGAGGCAGCAGUAGGGAAUCUUCCGCAAUGGGCGAAAGCCUGACGGAGCAACGCCGCGUGAGUGAAGAAGGUCUUCGGAUCGUAAAACUCUGUUAUUAGGGAAGAACAAAUGUGUAAGUAACUAUGCACGUCUUGACGGUACCUAAUCAGAAAGCCACGGCUAACUACGUG
rnacentral:rRNA from 1 species